ACUGGUGUGGUUGUUGCUGGCCCUCUCGGGGGCAUGUGCACACCCACCAUCCUCAUCUCUCCACCUGUGCACCUCUUGUAGACCUGGAUAGACUUUCCGAGGCAACUCGGUCGGGAAGAUUGCUGCGCUCUGUGAGCCAGCUUUCUUUGCAUGUCCAGGCCUAUGUUUUUCAUAUACCCCUAUAGAAUGUAACAGAAUGUAUCAUUGGGCCUUGUGCCUAUAAACCUUAUACAACUUUCAGCAACGGAUCUCUUGGCUCUCGCAUCGAUGAAGAACGCAGCGAAAUGCGAUAAGUAAUGUGAAUUGCAGAAUUCAGUGAAUCAUCGAAUCUUUGAACGCACCUUGCGCUCCUUGGUAUUCCGAGGAGCAUGCCUGUUUGAGUGUCAUUAAAUUCUCAACCUUAUUAGCUUUUGUUGAUAAUGGAUUGGAUGUGGGGGUUUAUUUUGCUGGCUUCUUCAGAGAUCAGCUCCCCUUAAAUGCAUUAGCUGGUGCCCCGCGUGGACCAUCUAUUGGUGUGAUAAUUAUCUACGCCGUGGAUGUCUGCAAUCAUAUGGGUUUUGCACUGCUUCUAACCGUCUGUUCAUUCGGACAAUAUAUGACAAUUUGACCUCAAAUCAGGUAGGACUACCCGCUGAACUUAAGCAUAUCAAUAAGCGGAGGAAAAGAAACUAACAAGGAUUCCCCUAGUAACUGCGAGUGAAGCGGGAAAAGCUCAAAUUUAAAAUCUGGCGGUCUCCGGCCGUCCGAGUUGUAAUCUAGAGAAGUGUUAUCCGCGCUGGACCGUGUAC
rnacentral:rRNA from 1 species